UACGUAGGGUCCGAGCGUUGUCCGGAUUUAUUGGGCGUAAAGAGCUCGUAGGCGGCUUGUUGCGUCGACUGUGAAAACCCGCGGCUUAACUGCGGGCUUGCAGUUGAUACGGGCAGGCUAGAGUUCGGUAGGGGAGACUGGAAUUCCUGGUGUAGCGGUGAAAUGCGCAGAUAUCAGGAGGAACACCGGUGGCGAAGGCGGGUCUCUGGGCCGAUACUGACGCUGAGGAGCGAAAGCGUGGGGAGCGAACAGG
rnacentral:rRNA from 1 species